rnacentral:rRNA from 1 species
GACGAACGCUGGCGGCGUGCUUAACACAUGCAAGUCGAACGGAAAGGCCCUGCUUUUGUGGGGUGCUCGAGUGGCGAACGGGUGAGUAACACGUGAGUAACAUGCCCUUGACUUUGGGAUAACUUCAGGAAACUGGGGCUAAUACCGGAUAGGAGCUCCUGCUGCAUGGUGGGGGUUGGAAAGUUUCGGCGGUUGGGGAUGGACUCGCGGCUUAUCAGCUUGUUGGUGGGGUAGUGGCUUACCAAGGCUAUGACGGGUAGCCGGCCUGAGAGGGUGACCGGCCACAUUGGGACUGAGAGACGGCGCAGACUGCUACGGGAGGCAGCAGUGGGGAAUAUUGCACAAUGGGCGGAAGCCUGAUGCAGCAACGCCGCGUGCGGGAUGACGGCCUUCGGGUUGUAAACCGCUUUCGCCUGUGACGAAGCGUGAGUGACGGUAAUGGGUAAAGAAGCACCGGCUAACUACGUG